CAUGCGAGUCAACGCCGCAAGGCGUGGCAUACGGCUCAGUAACACGUAGUCAACAUGCCCAAAGGACGUGGAUAACCUCGGGAAACUGAGGAUAAACCGCGAUAGGCCAAGGUUUCUGGAAUGAGCCAUGGCCGAAAUCUACAUGGCCUUUGGAUUGGACUGCGGCCGAUCAGGCUGUUGGUGAGGUAAUGGCCCACCAAACCUGUAACCGGUACGGGCUUUGAGAGAAGGAGCCCGGAGAUGGGCACUGAGACAAGGGCCCAGGCCCUAUGGGGCGCAGCAGGCGCGAAACCUCUGCAAUAGGCGAAAGCUUGACAGGGUUACUCUGAGUGAUGCCCGCUAAGGGUAUCUUUUGGCACCUCUAAAAAUGGUGCAGAAUAAGGGGUGGGCGAGUCUGGUGUCAGCCGCCGCGGUAAUACCAGCACCCCGAGUUGUCGGGACGAUUAUUGGGCCUAAAGCAUCCGUAGCCUGUUCUGCAAGUCCUCCGUUAAAUCCACCUGCUUAACGGAUGGGCUGCGGGGGAUACUGCAGAGCUAGGAGGCGGGAGAGGCAAACGGUACUCAGUGGGUAGGGGUAAAAUCCUUUGAUCUACUGAAGACCACCAGUGGCGAAGGCGGUUUGCCAGAACGCGCUCGACGGUGAGGGAUGAAAGCUGGGGGAGCAAACCGGAUUAGAUACCCGGGUAGUCCCAGCUGUAAACGAUGCAGACUCGGUGAAUGGGUUGGCCUCGAGCCAACCCAGUGCCGCAGGGAAGCCGUUAAGUCUGCCGCCUGGGGAGUACGGUCGCAAGACUGAAACUUAAAGGAAUUGGCGGGGGAG
rnacentral:rRNA from 1 species